rnacentral:lncRNA from 1 species
AUGCAACAGACUCCGAGAGGCAAGAAAAGAAGACACAGGACAAGAAGUGGAGGAGGAGAAGGAAUCAGCAAGAAGGGAGGAGGGGAGAGGGGAGGCAAGUGGCAGGGCACAGACACAGAACCGAAGCUCGGACUCUUUAGACCUUCCUCCACUCACACCCUUGCACGGCCUUGCACACCCCACCACCUGGCUCCACGUUAUCCAGCUGCUCUGAGAGCCACAACAGACUUCCCAGGAUCCCUGCGACUGCAGGGACUCCGUCCCACCCCUAUCCCUCAGGAAACGUGGCCUGAAGAAGCCCUGGGGUCACAAGACAGGGUCCCUACCUCGGACCUCCAUGCGGAUGCUGCUCUCGAUGCCAUUGGCCACGAACUUGAGCUCCGCCCCGUGCAGGCUGACAGGCACCGAGCGGAUGGUGAGAGUGUGGAACUCUCCCUCCUCGGCCACGCCAGCCACAGUCAGCUCCGGCGUUGUCACCCACUCAUCUUCAUGGCAACGGCUCCAGGUAUAGGCGCCCAGCCUCUUCUUCUCCACCAGGUAGCCCUCAAUGGCAGCAGGGCGGUCCCCAGCAGGUGGCGGGGACCAGCCAAGAGUUACGGAGCUCUCUGUCUGGGCCUUCACCACGGGGGCUUCAGGAGCAUGCAGGGGCGGCCUCCUGGGGGCUGA